rnacentral:rRNA from 1 species
GAUGAACGCUGGCGGCGUGCUUAAUACAUGCAAGUCGAGCGGACAGACGAGGAGCUUGCGCGUUUGACGUUAGCGGCGGACGGGGGUAUAACACGUGUAUAACCUACUUGUCAGUGUGGGAUAACUACGGGAAACCGGAGCAAACACGGGAGAAUCUACUGAACCGCAUGGUUGAUUAGUGAAAGACGGCUUUGCUGUAACUUAUAGCUGGAUCUGCGCCGCAUUAGGUAGUUGUGAAGGUAACGGCUUACGAAGGCAACGAUGCGUAGCCGACCUGAUUGGGGGAUCGGCCGCACGGGAACGGGGACGCGGUCCAGACUCCUACGAGAGGCAGCAGUAGGGAAUCUUCGGCAGUGGGCGAAAGCCUGGCGGAACAGCGGCGCGUGAGUGAUGAAGAUCUUCGGAUCGUGAAACUCUGUUAUGAGGGGAAAACAAAUGUGUAAGGAACUGUACACGUCUUGACGGUAAUUGAUCAGAAAGCAACGGCUAACUACGUG